CACACACCCUUUUUGUCUUUGAGGAAUCUGAGCAUCCCUGAUACAAGAGACUUAACUUCUUCCAGAACCUCUUGCCUUGUAUAUGGAAAGUCUUGUAUUAUUAACAGAGUGAAUUGAGACAGGUCUGGCUCUAACUUCCCAAAUACAGUUGUUUGCUCCUGGUGACAUCAUUUCUAUAUAAGGCCAAGAGCUUAACCCUUUCAUCUACAAGCCUCAGCACCACACAUGUCUUGCGCAAUUUCAGUUGCCUGUCCUGCAUCUGUUCCAGAAGAAUGCAAUCCAAACAAGAACUGGAGAAAGAUCAUUAAGAACCAAACAUUUGUAUGUGUCUGCCUAAACAAAAAUUAACAUUCCCUCAAAGCUUGUUCUUCUUCUGACAGCUAAUACUGAUUAUUAAUGAGGCUGACAUUUGCAUUUCACAAUGAAAUUCUCUGCUGCAAAAUUGACUGGAUAAUUAGUGUGAUUUGGAGCUGCUCCAAUGCUAUGGAUGUCCUGCAUGGGAGGAACAUGAAAACCGUGUACAGAGAGAGACAUGCAGGGCCAGCCCCAGAGCUUUUGCUGCCUGAGGUCAAGUACGAGAUGGUAUCCCUCUCCCACAUUCCAUGUUCAGAGGCCAACCAGACCAGAAGCUGAAUCGACACUGUGGAUGGGAUAGCAUCCUCUGCUGCACAUGAAGUCAGCAUGCUAGUUUAGAGGAUGCACCUUGGCUGGGGGUGAAUGAGGAAUGGCUAGAGGACUUCAGUUGGUGUGAAGCUGGUUUGAGAUACAGUGCAUGAAACAGUAGUAUUGUAUAACAACGUACAGGAUACAUAUGCAUUUUGGAUAACAUUGUGUGAACAAAGAUUAAAAACCCAGCACUAUAAACCCAGUGAGUUUACCAUAAGUGGGAGUGCGAACAUAGCCAUGUAGUCCAAUGCCACAUUGUUGUCCAGAGUGCAAAACAUUGCAGUGCUAAACCUUACUAACUACUUUGCAAUACAACUGAUUGAUUUUCAGAUUUCAUCAGGGUUGGCAGCCACUCAUUGAUUGUAAAUUGGAUGUAGGAAAGAAAAGAGAAAAAAUAAGAAUGCACUGUCAGGGCUUUUACCGUGCAACGUCUGGAUGUUUUUAAUGAUUUUUUAAUGUUCUGUUGACAGGCAUACGAAAAGCAGUGCAAAAUGCAGAGAUGAUAAGACAUCCCUGCAGGAUUUACAUAAGGGGGGGGGAGAUAUCAUUUUCUAUAGCACAGAACACAAUGGAACUUCCAGAUGAAAAGGCAAUAUAGAAAACUGUCUAUCCUCACCAGGGGCUGCUGAUUUCAAUGGAUCUACUUGGAAUAUGGCUUAUACCGCCACUGUUGCUAUUCUUAAAGGAGGAGACGGUCCCAUGCAUUUAAUGCAUGGCAUACUUUCUCCCUGAGAAGUUAAGCGUAAGGAUUUGUGGCAACCGCGGUCUUUGAGGAUUCUAACACAGACAGCCCAUUUGAAAUAAUUUAUGCAGAAGCUAGUUUUAUUGAUUUCAAGCCUCCAUGUAUAGACACUUAGAAAUGUAGCCAGGAUGGAAACAUUCUUUCAAAUGUCUGUCACAUCAGAACCUCUUUAACGCUUGCUCUUUCCACACUGUAAUGUUGUUAAAGAAAUUGCCUGGAAAAACUGGAUCAUUAAAACCAAAUCCAACAAACGACGCUGUAUAUAAAAACGCAACAAGGAGUUUUUUAAACUUUUCGAGGGGCAGAAGUAACUGUUGGAUCUCACUCUGGAGCACUGACGUGAGGCGAGUUUUAAAUCCUCCUGUUGAAAGAUGGUCACGAUUAAAAACCACUAAGUUUA